rnacentral:rRNA from 1 species
AUUGAACGCUGGCGGCAUGCCUUACACAUGCAAGUCGAACGGCAGCACGGGUGCUUGCACCUGGUGGCGAGUGGCGAACGGGUGAGUAAUACAUCGGAACGUACCUUAUCGUGGGGGAUAACGCAGCGAAAGCUGUGCUAAUGCCGCAUACGCCCUGAGGGGGAAAGCGGGGGAUCGCAAGACCUCGCGCGAUUAGAGCGGCCGAUGCCUGAUUAGCUUGUUGGUGGGGUAAAAGCCCACCAAGGCGACGAUCAGUAGCUGGUCUGAGAGGACGAUCAGCCACACUGGGACUGAGACACGGCCCAGACUCCUACGGGAGGCAGCAGUGGGGAAUUUUGGACAAUGGGGGCAACCCUGAUCCAGCAAUGCCGCGUGAGUGAAGAAGGCCUUCGGGUUGUAAAGCUCUUUUGUCAGGGAAGAAACACCGGCUCUAACACAGUCUGGGAAUGACGGUACCUGAAGAAUAAGCACCGGCUAACUACGUGCCAGCCGCCGCAGUAA